rnacentral:rRNA from 1 species
CAGCCGCCGCGGAAUACGGAGGGUGCAAGCGUUAAUCGGAAUUACUGGGCGUAAAGCGCACGCAGGCGGUCUGACAAGUCAGAUGUGAAAUCCCCGGGCUUAACCUGGGAACUGCAUUUGAAACUGUCAGGCUGGAGUCUUGUAGAGGGGGGUAGAAUUCCAGGUGUAGCGGUGAAAUGCGUAGAGAUCUGGAGGAAUACCGGUGGCGAAGGCGGCCCCCUGGACAAAGACUGACGCUCAGGUGCGAAAGCGUGGGGAGCAAACAGGAUUAGAUACCCCGGUAGUCCCUGUCUCUUAUACA